rfam:Vigna angularis cultivar Jingnong 6 scaffold188_89, whole genome shotgun sequence.
AAUGGGCAUAUGAUGAAUCUCAUCUUUAAAAAUGGGUAAUUUGCGUCUGAAUUAAAUUCAUUGAUGUUUUAUCACCUUGGAGAACUGAUGCCCUUU